UGGCAAAUAGGCAUACGGCACCCAUUAACCUUAAAGGUUUUACUCGAUUACUUUGGCCUAUUUUUCAGUACAUGGGUAAUUCAGUCUUUCAAGCUUUUAUUUUGAAAAUCGCGCACCAGGUGAUUGGCUACGGAAACGCGGUAGUUAGCUCGAGGGCUAAGUGCAAGUCUUCCCAAAUAGCUCAAACGGAGCUGCCACAAAAAAAGUAGUUUGGUUAAGUACUGAAGACAGUGUAAACAACUGACUAGUAUGGCAAAUGGUGUUAUAAAAUGGAGUAAGCGCGCAUCACUGAUGUAUGCAAUCGGAAUUUGGACUAUGUGUGGGUCAUAUGGAUUUUAUAGCUAUAUGCACAGAAAUUGCCCUCAAGUUGAAACACCUAAAGAGGAAGAACCCACAAGGCCAAAUGUGAAAACAUUUAAGUCUGCAAAUAUGUCAGCCACAAUAGUCUACAAAGAAAAUUUUGUUCCUUACUCCACCAGACUGCUAAAACUUUUCGGCCUGACAUCCAGCAGCUCUUCGGGAAGUCAAGCUGAUGACAAAUAGAAUUCAUAUAUGGAUAAAAAAAAAUGAAAAUGUAAAGAAUAGCAAUUGCACUACUCUGUAUUUACUCAGUUUGCAAAAAUAAAAAUCAACAGAUUCCUGUCA